rnacentral:lncRNA from 1 species
UUUUAUUACAUUAAUAAUACAAAUAAAACAAAACUGAGUGACUUAUCACGUAAACAUCAAUAAUCAAUACCGUGUGCUACUAUCCAACCACGCGUAUUACUGUACUUUUACUACCGAGUAGUUCAACAGUUUUAACGAUAAAACUUCCACCGUUAUUCUCAUAAAAAUAUUUUUGUCGUUUUCUCCAUCCAACAAUAAUUCCGUUGAGGGGUCCACCAAUGAUUGUACCGUCGUACGGAUAUUCCCCGACAAAAAGAAUAUUCCCCGACCAAUCAAAUAUUAUACAACAACUUGCAUACUUU